rnacentral:rRNA from 1 species
GACAGAGGUCCCGAGCGUUAGGCGGAAUCACUGGGCUUAAAGCGUGUGUAGGCGGACUUGUAAGUACCUUGUGAAAUCCCACGGCUCACCCGUGGAACUGCUUGGUAUACUGCGAGUCUUGAGCCACCUAGGGGCGAGCGGAACAGACGGUGGAGCGGUGAAAUGCGUAGAUAUCGUUUGGAACGCCAAUGGUGAAAACAGCUCGCUGGGAGUGUGCUGACGCUGAGACACGAAAGCCAGGGGAGCAAACGGG